rnacentral:sRNA from 1 species
GUCCAGACACCCAGGUUACAGACCCUCCACCCCCAGGCCUCCCAGAGCCCCUCACCCUCUGCCAGCCAGGGUAGCCCCCCAGUGGCCUCUUUUUCUUCCAUCUUCCCAUGUGUCCCCAGGUUCCUGUUGACAGCUGUCGCCUUGCUCUCCAGCUACUCCAUCCACCUGCUACUCAAGUCCUCAGGGGUCGUGGGCAUCCGUGCCUAUGAGCAGCUGGGCUACCGUGCCUUUGGGACCCCAGGAAAGCUGGCAGCAGCCCUGGCCAUCACGCUCCAGAACAUCGGAGCCAUGUCCAGCUACCUGUACAUCAUCAAGUCUGAGCUGCCACUUGUCAUACAGACCUUCUUGAACCUGGAGAAAACCUCGGACUGGUACAUGAACGGGAACUACCUGGUAAUCCUUGUCUCUGUCACCGUUAUUC